rnacentral:rRNA from 1 species
CCCUUAGAGUUUGAUCCUGGCUCAGAAUGAACGUUGGCGGCGUGGAUUAGGCAUGCAAGUCGAGCGAGAACCCCGCAAGGGGGGACAGCGGCAAACGGGGUAGUAAUGUGUCGGAACGUGCCCAGAGGACGGGGAUAGCGGCGGGAAACUGCCGGUAAUACCCGAUGAUCUCGGCCUUCGAGAGGAGACCGAGCAAAGGUGUGAUUCCGCCUUUGGAGCGGCCGACAUGGUAUUAGCUAGUUGGCGGGGUAACGGCCCACCAAGGCUGUGAUGCCUAGGGGAUGUGAGAGCAUGAUCCCCACCAUUGGGACUGAGACACUGCCCAGACACCUACGGGUGGCUGCAGUCGAGAAUCUUCGUCAAUGGGCGAAAGCCUGAACGAGCGACGCCGCGUGCGGGAUGAAGGCCUUUGGGUUGUAAACCGCUGUCGAGGGGGAUGAAGGCUUGAGGGUACUCCUUCAAGUUUGACAGAGCCCUGGAGGAAGCACGGGCUAAGUUCGUGCCAGCAGCCGCGGUAAUACGAACUGUGCGAACGUUAUUCGGAAUCACUGGGCUUACAGGGUGCGUAGGCGGCUUUUCAAGUCAGGUGUGAAAGCCCCCGGCUCAACCGGGGAAUUGCGCUUGAAACUGGAGAGCUCGAGUCAGCUAGAGGUGCACGGAACUUCCAGUGGAGCGGUGAAAUGUGUUGAUAUUGGAAAGAACACCGGAGCGAAAGCGGUGCACUGGGGCUGGUCUGACGCUGAGCACGAAAGCCAGGGGAGCGACGGGAUAGAUACCCCGGUAGUCCUGGCCGUAACGAUGAGUGCUG